CGGGGCGGGGCCGCGCGUGCGCGCAGUUCGAACGGGAUGGCGGCUGAGGCGGCGGGAGGGAUGUCUGCGCUGGCGAACGACAGUGGUGCUACGGUGGCGCGCGGAGAAGCGUCGGAGAAUAAGCGGAAAGGAGGAAGAGUCGUCAAGUCUCGCUACCUGGACUACGAUAAGAAAGAUGCCAAGAAGGAUAAUUCUGCAAGUUCCUUUUCAACGUCCGUUGUUAAACCAUCUUCUGGAACUAAACCAAGAUCAGCUCUUCCUCAGAAAAGUAAAAAACCUGCUGAUGUUGCCUCUCACUCAUCGAGUCAGAGUAGUUUUGAGAAAGGUGACUUGCAGUCCACUUUAUUAGAUGAAGACAAAAUUAGUCGACCAGACCUUGAUAUUUCAGCCAUUAGCGAUAAAAGCGUCCGCAAAAAGACUUCUGCUUCAAAAUCUGCUUGCAAAAGAAAUACAAGGCCACAACAAAAACCCAAAGAAGAGGGAAAUGAUUGUGAUUCUCUGAUGGAAGAGCUGGAAUCUCAGACACUGCUUUUAACUUACCUAAGAAUAAAGGCAGAAAAAAAUCUUGCCAUGCUGGAGAAGAAAGCAGAAGAAAACUUAAUAAUGCUGUGUGAAGAAAAGGAGAGACAACAGGAGAAGCUCUGCGAGUUAAAGCGUGAAAUUCUCCUCAAAGAGAGAGAGCAGAAACUUGACGAGGCGUUGGAUAAACAGAUGGAAGUACUUUCUCCCCUUGUUCCUGUUUGUGAGCAGUUUAAAGAGCAAUAUAAAAGCUUUGCGGUUUCCCUGGAUGCCACUAGGCAUGAAUUACCCAUAAAGAAUAUUCACAUAGAAGGAGAUAUGCUAACGUACCUUGAUCUAUCUGUGGCCACUGGAGGAACAGCGUGUGCUCUUAGUGCUUGUACAGACACUGGGCUGCAAUAUUAGUCAUGUUUUUUGCACACUUCCUUUAACAAGUUUCUGUAUCUUUUACUUGUAUUCAUGGCACUCGUCCUCCUCUCUUCUUCCAAACAGAUGAACUGCGGAAGCAGUUAACCAUCACACAGGAACUCGUGUCAGAAGUUAUGCCAAGCUGCGCCGGAGAUGGUGCGGAAACAUUUCGUGUACUGGAAGACCUUAAAGAAGUUUCUCAGAAACUGGAUAAAGAGCUUCAAAGGAGCUUCAAACAAGUGCAGAACCUGUCAUUUGAAGUUAGUAAAGAAGUUUCUCUGCAUAACCAAAGAAUAUGCGAAGAGAAACAUGGACUAGAUGUUGUGAAACGCUGGUACUUCGACUGAGUUUGUGUGUUGUUUUGCUGACGAGCGGGUGCUAAAUCAAUGCCAGCGUACUUCCUGGACGGACAUAGAACUUGUCCUAAUUUUCAGUUAUACCAGAAUACGAAACCAGCAGCAUGUCUACUUACUAAUGUGAGAAAUGCGGUUUUCUUCUGUGUGCUGUCCCAUAAGGAGACAUUUUAACACGAACUUCUGUGACACCUUUCUCAUCACCUUCUGCCUUGACAAUACUGAAAGGUAAAUCAGAGGAAACGUUAUUCUUAGCAAAUGGGACAUCUGUAUUCUUAAAUUUAUUAAUUUACUUCCUUGGAACUGGCUUCAAGUGCACUGCUCUGUAUCUCUCUCCAAAGUAGUGUUCCUUAGAGGGCAGCGUAUCACGAUGUAGGUGUGGAAUUGUGUAGGUGGGGCUGUGCCUGUGCCGAUCUCAUCGGGAGGAUCUGUAGGAUCAUUGGUCACUCAGUGAAGAGCUUCUGGAGGAACUCUAAUUGUCCCUUAUUUCUGGAUUUACUGGGAGGAAAACCUGCGAGGGGAGUAAAUAAUGAGGGCUGAUGAUUGGAAGGAGCCUGGUCACUUGUAACAAGUGAAAAGUUUUGGUAACUUGUUGCCUAAUGGUCUUGGAAACAAUUAAUUAAAAUCGGAAAUGCUUUUGUAUUAAACUGACACUUUCUCUUAAAGAUUUUAUUUAUUCUUUUUCAUAAUAAAGACUUAUUUUCCAGUGUUA